CUCUCAUUCUGAGAUCUGUUUGAUUGAGAAUAGGGAGGGAUGCUGUAAUACUAUGGACUUGGCUUAUUUUCCAAGAACACGGCCCACAUGGAGCUUACAGGAAAGGUUUGAAGAGUUAUGACUUGGAAACAUAAUUCUGAUAGCUGAGUAUAUAAAUAUAAUAUCUGUAAUAAAGACUUUCCCUUAGUGGCAAAUGACAAUUCAGUUAUAUUGGAAUUACAUCAGUUUCCAUUACUUCGAGCGUGACUUCUGCUGUUCGGUGAACGCUGUAGCAACACAAAGAUAUGACAAUGCCUGUGUCUUUUAACAUGGAAAUCAUACCUCAGCUUUACAGAAUCACAGAAGAGUUGAGGUAGGAAGGCAUCUCUGGAGAUCAUCUAGUCCAAAGCCCCUGCUCAAAACAGGCAGCUACAGCAGGUUCUUCAGGACCAUAUCCAGAUGUGUUGUGAGCUGUUCUCAGGAACGGAGACUCCCAAACCUCUCUGGGCCAUCUCUUCCAUGCUUAACAACUCUCAUGGUGAAAAAAGUUAUUAUGUUUAAAUAGAAUUUUCUGUAUUUUACUUCCUGCUCAUUUCCUCUUGCCCCUUACCGCUGAGAAGAGUCUGGCUCUAACUUUUACCUUUUCCACCAGGUAUUUAUAUGACCCGCCCUCCUCCCCCCCCCACCCCACCUCAGCCUUCACACCAUGGGCUGAGCAGUCCCAGCUCCCUCAGCCUCUCACCAUCUGGGCAGAGGCCCCAGUCCCUUCAGGGCCCCUGGCUGGGCCCACUGCAGCCCACAGCUGUGGGUGGAAGGACACAUGUUCACAUGAGCUUGAUCUUCAAAAGAAUCAAGAUUCUUUUGAGAGAAAAAAAAGAAAAGAAAAGAAAAGCACAAGCCCCAUAACUACAUUUCUAAAGGGAAAUUUUUAUCUAUUUUUUUUUUAAUGUUAAAAAAAAAAAAAGUUAAUUGUUCUACUAAAAAAGUGUAUUCUAGAUAAGGCCAUACACUGGAGAAAGGGAUUUUCAAAGCAAUCCUAGAAGAGCAUGGAAAAGCUGCUGAAUGUUUGUACUCCUUCCAAACUGUGAUUUGUAUUUAAUUAGCAUUCAAUUCAUUAUUCAUUUCUGCUUGGUUGUAAUGGUUACACACCGGUUUUGUAACAUGCAAGAUCUUGAUUACUUUUCUUGUUUUGAAAAGAAUCUCCAUGUGUGCAAGGAGAGACUCUGCUCUUGACACAUAUCUACCCUUUUUAGGAAAAAAAAAGCCUGCUGUUAUUUACUGACCGGUGUGCUUGGGCAGAAUUCCCCUCUGCUGGAAUCGCCCCCUCUGCCUUUAUUGUAAUGGUGUGCAGUAACUGACCUGCAGAAAGUAAAUGGACACAGUGGUGGCAGCCCUGUAUUUGUGGUUGGGUGCACACCUUCAUUUAAAGCUGGAAUCCAGCUCUGUUUUGCAUAAGAAUGUAGAAAACAUGCAUUCCCCAAAUUAACAGCAUGUAAAGAGUCUUUAAUCUGGAAGCAAAUAUGUUAAUUAUCUCUGGGUAAAACUAAAUGGCACCCUUUAAGGAUGUUGAUUCCUCUGAAACACAAGAAUUUUUGCUGCUUUUUUUUUGAAAAAGAACAAACUGUGCCAGUAAAAAAUGCACACAAGGAGGUAUGAGGACAAGAGGAAGUCUCUGGUAAUUUAUAUAAAUACACUGUUUGAAUUAAAAUGUAAACAUAUUGACGAUAGUUACAACAAAAUGAUUCUCUAUGUUAUUCUAGAGUGUUGUGUAUAUUGUUUUUUGAUGCUCCCAUGAUAUAUUUUAUCAGCCAUGUGCAUUUUCCAAUGUGCAAACCUUUCUGAAUAAUUUCAAAGGAAAACAUACUUUAAUAUAUACUUUCACAGGUCCGUGGAACUCAUGAUGACUCAGACAGGGUGACAGGAGUCACAUUCAGAGAGAUGUACCAGGGCAGAAGCACUGCAAGUUACUUCUGCUUCUACAGCAAAUUCUGAGCUGGUUCUCAGCUGUGUCUGUAAUAACUGCUAGCGUACCUUACCUACACAGUAUCUAUUUGAAAUUCUGUGCUUCAGUUUCAGUUUUUGCAACAAGCAGUAACCUACACAAAUGAACCAUAUUAUGAGGCCUUCCAAUUCCUCGCGCUCAAAAGCACAUCUUCAUGCUUUUUGCUUUUGUGUUUCUUUUGGUAUCACAUAUGGCAGCAAAGUUGACAUCAAUUAGAAUGUAUUUUAAAGAAGAG